CCGAGAUGAGUUCUCCCUGACUCCCUGAGAGUCCUGAAGGAACGUUGAAGACGACGACGUUGAUAGGCCGGGUGUGUAAGCGCAGCGAUGCGUUGAGCUAACCGGUACUAAUGAACCGUGAGGCUUAACCUUACAACGCCGAAG
rnacentral:rRNA from 1 species